rnacentral:lncRNA from 1 species
UUGAUAUUAGAAUUCCAUGUGACUUCCAGGUGUUACUGUGACGCUUCUACCUUGAUGUCUCACUCACUAUUUUUUCUUGUCCUAAAGCUCUUAAUAUUCUUUCCGUGAUGAUAUUUUUGAAAUAUUGAGUAUGCUACACAAUGGAAAGUAUUUUCUCUAGUCACAUAUAUUGAAAUUCUAAAUGUCUCUUGACAUUGUAUGCAGUUUCCUGGCCAGAAGUCCUGGGAUGCUUUCAAUUCUGAUAUAUCUACAAUCACCUUUGCUUGGAGAAAGGAGUUAAGUGUUAUGCCUUCUUUGAAUGAAGAGGAAGAUCUAAGUCUACACUCCUCAGAGAAACAAGAAAUAAUGAACUGUAGGAAGAAAUACGCAUCUAGGCAACAAUAAAUGAUCCAAGCUAACCUGUGG